CAUUGAACAGUGCUCAUUGAACUGGCCAUUGAACAAUGAGGUCAGGCAUGGUGUCUGCUGUCACCAGGUCCCUCUGGCUGUGGGUGGAGAGCAGAUUGCAGGAUGCAGGACUAAGUGCAGAGCAGAAAGAGCCAUUAGGAGUCCCAUGCAGUGGCUGGAGAGAGUAGGCAGAGUAGGCUGGUGGCCACGGAGGAUGCAGCAAGUUUAAAGAGAUCACACAUGGAAUGGGGGAAAAGAGUCAGAGGUGAUCCCAGACUUUUACACAAGUGACUCACAGAUGGACUUGUGUUUAAUGGGAAGGAGAAGGUUGAGAAAAGGUGUGUGUGUGUGUGUGUGUGUGUGUGCGUGUGUGUGUGUAUGUGUGUAUUUGUGUAUGUGUGUGUGUGUGUGUGUGUGUGUGCAUGUCCACCAUUCAGCUUCUGACAGGUUCACUGGGGAGGGUCCAUUCACAAUCCAUCAUUAUCAGGGGUGAAUGGUGUGGUGUAUCUCAUCCUGUGACACCCCACUCAGUGUUGCUGACUCUGUCCUGGGGAAGGAGAGCAGGAGCUUCCUAUGGCUGAAAGGAUUGUGGUGAGUACAGGAGUAAUCCUUCACCUCCAGCUGCACAGGCCUGGGGCCCUGAAGCUAAUGACCAUGCACUCAGAUGCUCUGCGGGUCAGCCAUCCAUGCCUCAGCCUCCUGAAAUUCCUGGUACCCCAUGAAUCUUGACCCUCCCUCCUCUUUCUUCUUCCUAUCUCCAAAGGUCACAGCCCAGGUGACUCAGGACCUUUUCCCAUCCUCUGGCACCUGCCUCUUCAUCAACACUUGCCAAAGCAAGCCUUCUCCACCAGUGUGCCCUCCAACCAACCAGGAGGCCAACCUGGCACAGCUCCCUCAGGGGUUCAGACCUAGCACAUCUAGGACCCUCUCUUGAUCUAUGAUGGUGAGAGCUGCAGCAGCCAAAUUGUGCCCGUGAGCCAACGGCUGAAGAAUCAAAAGCCUUACUGCAGGCAUUAUUGAGUGUUGGGACCUCUGCUGACCAUGGGAGUGCAAUCGCUGG